rnacentral:lncRNA from 1 species
AAAAUAUUUUAAAAUGUUAAAGUUGAACAACUAGCUAUUCCUAUGGUUCCAGCAGGGAUGUCUCUUUCUUUUUUGAAGAAAUGUGCAUUUUCUGGGCAUUGUAUCCUUCUGGAUUGGGUGCUCAGGUUCACUGCAUGCUAGAAAGUCCCUUGUCAACACUGACUCCAUGGCUUUUGCAGGCUUCUGCUCCAUUCCUGCAAAACUGUUCACUGUCAGUGGCGCAAAAUCUACAGGUUGUGUGAGAUGGCUGAAGUGUGGCACAUUUGCACAGCUUUGGUUGAAAGCAGAGCUCAAUGUCCCUGUCUUCAUGCUUCCCAAGUGGAGAUAAGGAUACUUCCCUACCAUACAGCACUGUUGUGAAGAUCAACUGGCUAAUGACUGUAUGGCACUUUCAAGUACUAUCAUUAUAGUACUAUAGUCUCUCUUAGGGAGGAUUUGUUAUUUUUACAAAAUUAAUUGUAAAUCCAAUAGAAAAUCAUUCAGUCUCUGAAAUUCUGGUGAGAUAAUUAUUGUGAAGAUGGUAUUAGUAUAGAUGAUUCACUGCUUUAAUUAUUAGUUUCCGAUUCUACGCAAACAUCAUUUAAAACCCCUCUAACCUCCUCACGAGCUGGCUACGUUACCCCCUCAAAUUACUACUUAGCUGACUUGCUCAGCUCCUGGCUCAUCUUCUGCAGGUAAAUUGCCCUGGCUGACAGUGGGGCUCACUGAGAAGGCCUAGCCUGCUUGUGGCUGAGCUCAGCAGUUAGCCUUUGCGUGCAGCUGCUCCUUUCCUUAGGUUCAUCCUCACCGAAUACCUUCAGUCGUGAUUUAUCCUGUGUUGUUCUGGCCAGGACAAAAGCUCAUGCUAAAUUUUUAGGACAGUAAACAAAGAGGUCUGCUAUGAAGGCUAACCAAAAUUACUGCUGCAGGCAGGGGCAGGGUUGGAUGGAAACCACUUAGACUAUGAUCCUUCUGCCCCAACCUUGGAAAUGCCAUGCUGGUUUUGGAGCAGUUAAGUGAACUUAACCUGGCCUACUCCACAAGGUAAGUUUCCCUCUGUGGUUUUCCAGACAACUUUGCAACAAACUU